UUGAGAAUGAUACAAAGAAAAGAAUUAGAGAUGGAGAGAGACGUAGUGUCAAGAUUUUAUGUACACAGACACAGUGAUGAGGCCAGGAUUGUUAGAUGACAGAGAGGGCCAAAGAUUGUUGCUCAAAUGAAUUUUUAUUUUACAGUUUUCAGGUACCGAGGAUAAGCUUGGAUUACAAGUUGCGGGAUUAGGUGGAAGAGUUGGAGUUGAGGAAUUAAAUUAUUUUAUUUAGAGAUUUUUAUAUAUUUAUUUGAGGAAAUUGAUUUAGUAUCAAUUUAAUUAUUUGGAGACAUUAUAUAUUUUUAAAUUGAGGAAUUGAUUCUGUAUCAAUAAAAUGAUAUUUCUUUUGAGA